rnacentral:rRNA from 1 species
UACAGAGGGGGCAAGCGUUGUUCGGAAUUAUUGGGCGUAAAGGGCGCGUAGGCGGCAUGUUAAGUCGGCUGUGAAAGCCUGGGGGCUCAACCCCCGGGCGUGCGAUGGAUACUGCCGGGGCUAGAGGAUGGUAGAGGCGAGUGGAAUUCCUGGUGUAGCGGUGAAAUGCGCAGAUAUCAGGAGGAACACCGGUGGCGAAGGCGGCAUCCUGGGACCGGCAUUGACG